rnacentral:lncRNA from 1 species
AUCACUUCCUCCUGAGUUGGCCCUGCCUUGGGACACUCACUCUUGAACCCCAGCCACCAUGUUGGGAGGAAGCCCAAAGGGGUCGACAGUGGGAGCCCAUGAGGAGAGGCGCAGGUGGAGAGGAGCUGAUGCCCCAGCCUAGAGCCAGCAUCCACCCCAGACACGUCUUGAAGUUGGGUGGAUGUAAGCCUGAAGUUCCAGGAGGCCACCAAGGUUGGGCUGGGAGUAAAGCCAGGGAGGAGAACAGAGCUGAUGAAAGGAGAGAGAGACACCAAGUUCUGAUGACAUCCACAUGCUCUGGCUUUUUGGAUACUUGAGUUACACUUCUUCUCUGUCGCUUAGGCCAGUUUGAAUUAGAUUUCUGUUGCUUGCAACCACAGCAGUCCUAAAUAAUAUACCAUU